CCUUAAAAAAAAAACCUUCUGACACUGCAGUAGUGAAAAUGAAGCGCACGAUGGGCGGAAGCUAGGAAGACAAACAUAAAGAUGAAGUGCUUAAUUCAAGGUCACACAAUGUCGGGGAUGGACCUCCAGAUUUCCUUACUGGUGAGACGUGGUCUUGUAACACAGUGGUUAAGAAUGUGACUUUGGAGCCAGCCUGCUAGGGGCUGAAUUCUGACUCAGCCAUUUACUAACUGUGUGACCUUAGGGAGGAGGACCUGGUUGAUAGAAGAAUUUAUCUCGUAGUCUUAACAUCCACUGUAAUUCCAAACUUUGAGGACGAUAGAGAUCAGUGGGCUUUGACUGCCCAGCAUGCAGUCUCCAUUCUUAGGUGGGUUCCCAAGCCUGUAAAAUGUAAGCCUUAUGCUGCUGAGGGCCAUCUUGCCACCCUGAGGGAAACGCUGCCUGAGAAUGAAACCAGCAUAAGUAAAAGCUGAGCUGUGAGAUGGAGCAAGAUGAAGGCCACAUGACAUCUUUGGAGCACCUGGAUCUAACUGUGCCUUAAGCUAG
rnacentral:antisense_RNA from 1 species